rnacentral:rRNA from 1 species
GGCGGACGGGUGAGUAACGCGUAAGGAACUUGCCUCUUGGUCUGGGACAACUGUUGGAAACGACAGCUAAUACCGGAUAUUAUGAGAUUCUCGCAUGGGAAACUUAUGAAAGCUAUAUGCGCCAAGAGAGAGCCUUGCGUUCCAUUAGCUAGUUGGUGGGGUAACGGCCCACCAAGGCGACGAUGGAUAGCCGGCCUGAGAGGGUGAACGGCCACAAGGGGACUGAGACACGGCCCUUACUCCUACGGGAGGCAGCAGUGGGGAAUAUUGGACAAUGGGCCACAAGCCUGAUCCAGCAAUUCUGUGUGCACGAUGAAGGUCUUCGGAUUGUAAAGUGCUUUCAGUUGGGAAGAAGAAAGUGACGGUACCAACAGAAGAAGCGACGGCUAAAUACGUGCCAGCAGCCGCGGUAAUACGUAUGUCGCAAGCGUUAUCCGGAUUUAUUGGGCGUAAAGCGCGUCUAGGCGGAAAAAUAAGUCUGAUGUUAAAAUGCGGGGCUCAACUCCGUAUUGCGUUGGAAACUGUUUUUCUAGAGUACUGGAGAGGUGGGCGGAACUACAAGUGUAGAGGUGAAAUUCGUAGAUAUUUGUAGGAAUGCCGAUGGAGAAGUCAGCUCACUGGACAGAUACUGACGCUAAAGCGCGAAAGCGUG